rnacentral:tRNA from 1 species
GGCUUUAUAGUCAAAAAUGAUAUUAGACUGCAAUUCUAAAGGGGUAGAAUAUUCUACUGAGGCCU